UCUCCUGGAAAACGGGUGGUAAUGCCGGAUGCUCCGACUCCUCGCAUGGGGUGUCGGGAAAGAUUUCAUCGGUAUGGGAUGGGGUCGCGUCCUAUCAGGUAGUCGGCGGGGUAACGGCCCACCGAGCCUACGACGGGUAGCCGGCCUGAGAGGGCGACCGGCCACAUUGGGACUGAGAUACGGCCCAGACUCCUACGGGAGGCAGCAGUGGGGAAUAUUGCACAAUGGGCGCAAGCCUGAUGCAGCGACGCCGCGUGCGGGAUGACGGCCUUCGGGUUGUAAACCGCUUUUGAUCGGGAGCAAGCCUUCGGGUGAGUGUACCUUUCGAAUAAGCACCGGCUAACUACGUGCCAGCAGCCGCGGUAAUACGUAGGGUGCAAGCGUUAUCCGGAAUUAUUGGGCGUAAAGGGCUCGUAGGCGGUUCGUCGCGUCCGGUGUGAAAGUCCAUCGCUUAACGGUGGAUCUGCGCCGGGUACGGGCGGGCUGGAGUGCGGUAGGGGAGACUGGAAUUCCCGGUGUAACGGUGGAAUGUGUAGAUAUC
rnacentral:rRNA from 2 species